GAUGAACGCUAGCGGCAGGCCUAACACAUGCAAGUCGAGGGAGGAGCCUUCGUGCUUCGACCUGCGUACGGGUGCGUAACGCGUAUACAAUCUGCCUUUCACAUAGGGAUAGCCCGAAGAAAUUUGGAUUAAUACCUAAUGUUAUAUAGAUGUGGCAUCACCUUUAUAUUAAAGCUGAGGCGGUGAAAGAUGAGUAUGCGUUCUAUUAGCUAGUUGGAGAGGUAACGGCUCCCCAAGGCGACGAUAGAUAGGGGUUCUGAGAGGGAUAUCCCCCACACUGGUACUGUGAUACGGACCAGACACCUACGAGAAUGAGCAGUGAGGAAUAAUGGAAAAUGGUCGGAAGACCAAUCCAGCCACUCCGUGUACAGAAAGACGGACUUAUGGGUUGUAAACUGCGUUUGCAGGGGAAGAAUAAGGACUACGCGUAGUUUGAUGACGGUACUGUGCGAAUAAGCAUCGGAUAACUGCGUG
rnacentral:rRNA from 1 species